rnacentral:rRNA from 1 species
GAUGAACGCUGGCGGCGUGCCUAAUACAUGCCAGUCGAGCGAACAGACGAGGAGCUUGCUCCUCUGACGUUAGCGGCGGACGGGUGAGUAACACGUGGAUAACCUACCUAUAAGACUGGGAUAACUUCGGGAAACCGGAGCUAAUACCGGAUAAUAUAUUGAACCGCAUGGUUCAAUAGUGAAAGACGGUUUUGCUGUCACUUAUAGAUGGAUCCGCGCCGCAUUAGCUAGUUGGUAAGGUAACGGCUUACCAAGGCGACGAUGCGUAGCCGACCUGAGAGGGGGAUCGGCCACACUGGAACUGAGACACGGUCCAGACUCCUACGGGAGGCAGCAGUAGGGAAUCUGCCGCAAUGGGCGAAAGCCUGACGGAGCAACGCCGCGUGAGUGGUGAAGGUCUUCGGAUCGUAAAACUCUGUUAUUAGGGAAGAACAAAUGUGUAAGUAACUAUGCACGUCUUGACGGUACCUAAUCAGAAAGCAACGGCUAACUACGUG